GACGAACGCUGGCGGCGUGCUUAACACAUGCAAGUCGAACGGAAAGGCCCUGCUUAUGUGGGGUGCUCGAGUGGCGAACGGGUGAGUAACACGUGAGUAACCUGCCCUUGACUUUGGGAUAACUUCAGGAAACUGGGGCUAAUACCGGAUAGGAGCUCCUGCUGCAUGGUGGGGGUUGGAAAGUUUCGGCGGUUGGGGAUGGACUCGCGGCUUAUCAGCUUGUUGGUGGGGUAGUGGCUUACCAAGGCUUUGACGGGUAGCCGGCCUGAGAGGGUGACCGGCCACAUUGGGACUGAGAUACGGCCCAGACUCCUAUGGGAGGCAGCAGUGGGGAAUAUUGCACAAUGGGCGGAAGCCUGAUGCAGCAACGCCGCGUGCGGGAUGACGGCCUUCGGGUUGUAAACCGCUUUCGCCUGUGACGAAGCGUGAGUGACGGUAAUGGGUAAAGAAGCACCGGCUAACUACGUG
rnacentral:rRNA from 1 species